UGAGUUAUGUCAUGUUAUCGAUAUGUGAAUACAUAGCAUAUCAGAAGGCACACCCGGAGAACUGAAACAUCUUAGUACCCGGAGGAAGAGAAAGAAAAUUCGAUUCCCUUAGUAGCGGCGAGCGAAAUGGGAAGAGCCCAAACCAACAAGCUUGCUUGUUGGGGUUGUAGGACACUCUAUACGGAGUUACAAAGGACGACAUUAGACGAAUCAUCUGGAAAGAUGAAUCAAAGAAGGUAAUAAUCCUGUAGUCGAAAAUGUUGUCUCUCUUGAGUGGAUCCUGAGUACGACGGAGCACGUGAAAUUCCGUCGGAAUCUGGGAGGACCAUCUCCUAAGGCUAAAUACUCUCUAGUGACCGAUAGUGAACCAGUACCGUGAGG
rnacentral:rRNA from 1 species